UUGACCUCAAAUCAGGUAGGACUACCCGCUGAACUUAAGCAUAUCAAUAAGCGGAGGAAAAGAAACUAACAAGGAUUCCCCUAGUAACUGCGAGUGAAGCGGGAAAAGCUCAAAUUUGAAAUCUGGCAGUCUUUUUUUUCUUCUUUGGCUGUCCGAGUUGUAAUCUAGAGAAGUGCUUACCUGCACUGGACCAUGUAUAAGUCUCCUGGAAUGGAGCCUCACAGAGGGUGAGAAUCCCGUCUUUGACAUGGACCGCCAGUGCGUUGUGGUGCGCUCUCAAAGAGUCGAGUUGUUUGGGAAUGCAGCUCUAAAUGGGUGGUAAACUCCAUCUAAAGCUAAAUAUUGGCGAGAGACCGAUAGCGAACAAGUACCGUGAGGGAAAGAUGAAAAGGACUUUGGAAAGAGAGUUAAACAGUAUGUGAAAUUGUUGAAAGGGAAACGCUUGAAGUCAGUUAUGUCUGCUAGGGAUCAACCUAGCUAUUCUUUGGCUGGGUGAAUUUCCUGGUCUGACAGGCCAACAUCAGUCUUGACUGCCGGAAAAGAGCGGAGGGAAUGUGGCACCUUUGGGUGUGUUAUAGCCCUCUGUCAUAUGCGGCGGUCGGGACUGAGGGAUGCAGCGUGCCGCGAGGCUGGGUUUCGACCACGUUCACGCUUAGGAUGU
rnacentral:rRNA from 1 species